rnacentral:rRNA from 1 species
GCCGACAAGCGGUGGAGUAUGUGGUUUAAUUCGAUGCAACGCGAAGAACCUUACCUGGUCUUGACAUCCCGGAGACCCUUAGGAACUAGGGGUGCUUCCAUCUGGAAGAAUCUGGAGACAGGUGCUGCAUGGCUGUCGUCAGCUCGUGUCGUGAGAUGUUGGGUUAAGGUCCCGCAACGAGCGCAACCCUUGCCUUUAGUUGCCAGCAGUUCGGCUGGGCACUCUAAAGGGACUGCCGGUGUUAAACCGGAGGAAGGUGGGGAUGACGUCAAGUCCUCAUGGCCUUUAUGACCAGGGCUACACACGUACUACAAUGGCCGAUACAAAGGGCAGCGACACUGCGAGGUGAAGCCAAUCCCGUAAAAUCGGUCUCAGUCCGGAUUGGAGUCUGCAACUCGACUCCAUGAAGUUGGAAUCGCUAGUAAUCGUGGAUCAGCAUGCCACGGUGAAUACGUUCCCGGGCCUU